UACUAUAGUCUCGUUGGUGACCAGCGGAGGGAUCAUUACCGAGUUUACAACUCCCAAACCCAAUGUGAACCAUACCAAACUGUUGCCUCGGCGGGGUCACGCCCCGGGCGCGUCGCAGCCCCGGAACCAGGCGCCCGCCGGAGGGACCAACCAAACUCUUUUCUGUAGUCCCCUCGCGGACGUUAUUUCUUACAGCUCUGAGCAAAAAUUCAAAAUGAAUCAAAACUUUCAACAACGGAUCUCUUGGUUCUGGCAUCGAUGAAGAACGCAGCGAAAUGCGAUAAGUAAUGUGAAUUGCAGAAUUCAGUGAAUCAUCGAAUCUUUGAACGCACAUUGCGCCCGCCAGUAUUCUGGCGGGCAUGCCUGUCCGAGCGUCAUUUCAACCCUCGAACCCCUCCGGGGGGUCGGCGUUGGGGACCUCGGGAGCCCCUAAGACGGGAUCCCGGCCCCGAAAUACAGUGGCGGUCUCGCCGCAGCCUCUCCUGCGCAGUAGUUUGCACAACUCGCACCGGGAGCGCGGCGCGUCCACGUCCGUAAAACACCCAACUUCUGAAAUGUUGACCUCGGAUCAGGUAGGAAUACCCGCUGAACUUAAGCAUAUCAAAAACGGGGAAGAAAA
rnacentral:rRNA from 1 species